UUGAAUGAUUUAAUUUAAUUAAUAAUGGUGAAUGUUGUGGCAUUUUGAGGUAUGGAUUAUUAUUUGUGUCCUUUCAUCUGCUGCUGUGCGGUGUGAUCUGAUUUAUUUGUACUACAAAUAAAACACUCAGCCUGCAAAAGCUCAUCAGCUAUGUGUUUAUGUCUGUACCAUGCUGGAACUUUGUUGUGUACCAUUUACUCAUUGCUUUUACUUCAUGGAUAUUUGGG
rnacentral:lncRNA from 1 species